rnacentral:rRNA from 1 species
GAUGAACGCUGGCGGCGUGCCUAAUACAUGCAAGUCGAGCGAACGGACGAGAAGCUUGCUUUUCUGAUGUUAGCGGCGGACGGGUGAGUAACACGUGGAUAACCUACCUAUAAGACUGGGAUAACUUCGGGAAACCGGAGCUAAUACCGGAUAAUAUUUUGAACCGCAUGGUUCAAAAGUGAAAGACGGUCUUGCUGUCACUUAUAGAUGGAUCCGCGCUGCAUUAGCUAGUUGGUAAGGUAACGGCUUACCAAGGCAACGAUGCAUAGCCGACCUGAGAGGGUGAUCGGCCACACGGGAACGGAGACACGGUCCAGACUCCUACGGGAGGCAGCAGUAGGGAAUCUUCCGCAAUGGGCGAAAGCCUGACGGAGCAACGCGGCGUGAGUGAUGAAGGUCUUCGGAUCGUAAAACUCUGUUAUUAGGGAAGAACAUAUGUGUAAGUAACUGUGCACAUCUUGACGGUACCUAAUCAGAAAGCCACGGCUAACUACGUG